rnacentral:lncRNA from 7 species
GAGGUAGCGGAGCGGGGCUGCCUGUCCUUCUGCAGCUGCCCGAAUGCCGUGAGCGAGGAGCAGCAGGGUGCAGCAGCCCUGGAGUCAGGUGAGUCUCCAGUGGCUCAGCCCCAGACCCAGUGCUUGCCCUGAUGCACGCUAGGGAGGGAUGGGCCCAUGCCAGGAGCCCAGCCCUGGGCCAGGACCUGGCACACUAAAGGUCGGCCAGAUGGGACGUGGGUGUCACUGGUGCACUAUCGUGUUGUGGCUCACGCCCCCUCCCUGUUCUGCAGGUGCUGAGAGACCGACGUCUGGGCCAUCUUGCUCCUGCUCCAGCUGCAACAGGUGCAGGCAAGCUGAGCAGGAUCUGCAGCAGCUGGUGCUAUCGGUGCUGCUGGAGCACGUGGUUACUCCAGGUCCUGAGUUCUGUCUGGGAGGGGGCCUGGAAGGACCUGGCGAAGCUGGUGGAGCAAGGAAGCCUGUCCUGCUGCAGCUCUGCCAAUGACCAGAGCGAGAAGCAGCGAGGAGCAUCGGUUUGCGAGUCAAGUGACUCUCCUGUGGCUCAGCCGCAGACCCAGUGCUUGCCCUGAUGCAUCCUGGGGAGGGGUGGGCCCAUGGGAGGAGCCCCACCCUGGACCGGGACCUGGCAUGCCACAGGUCGGCCAGCUGGGACAAAAGCUUCUCAGGUUCCCCAUCAUUGGCUCAUGACCCCUCCCUGUUUUACAGUACCCACAGACUGACGUGUGGGACAAGGUGCUGCUGCCUCAGCUGCAACCGCCUCUUCAAAGCUGUACCAGAGCUGCAGCAGCUGCUGCUGUCGGGGCUGCCUGAGCACGUGGCCAAUCUGGGCCCUGAGUUCCGGGAGGCAGCCUGGAGGGACCUGGCAGAGGUAGUGGGGCAGGGCAUGCUGUCCUGCUGCUGCUCCCCCAGCGCCAGGAGAGGCGAGGAGCAGCAUCACCAGAGUCAGGUGCUGAGGGACAGACACGUGGGCCACGGUGCUCCUGCUCCAGCUGCAACCGCUGCAGCAAAGCUGAGCAGGAGCUACAGCAGCUGGUGUUGCCGGCUCUCCCAGAGCACGUGGCCACUCUGGGCCCUGAGUUCUGGGAUGCGGCCUGGCGGGACCUGGAAAAGCUGGUGGAGCAAGGAAGCCUAUCCUGCUGCAGCUCCCCCAGCUCCUCCACACAGCUGGGGACAGUUGUACGUGAGAGCAUCAUGCAGACAGGUGCCGCUGUACGUUGGUGGGAGCAGAAGGAACAGCAGCCUGUUGGAUUGUCCAAGCGUCCACAAGAAGUACCCCACAUGCAAAAGACAGUAAGACCAGCAGCAGCAGCACCUUCACGCCUGGCUACGGAAGAUGACUGCUGCAGUGCAGCCAGCCAGCGUCUGAGCUGUGCCGUCUGUGGCAGGAGACGUGCAGAGCAGGCAGGCAGGCAGAGCGUGAAUGGCUGGCACUCGUGGCAGCGGGUGGCCCCCACAGCCCACCGGACAAAUCGUCAGGGCUCCAAGCCAGGCAGGGGAGCCACAGAGCAGCCCCCGCAGACCUGCACCUGCACCUGCAUGCGUCCACCUGCGCAUGAGGGACUUCAUCAACCAAAGCAGGGACAACGUUGCUGGGACAACAAGGCCCAGGAGCCUUCUGCAUUGCCUGUGUCCUGCCGAAUGCAUUGUGAGUGCUGUAAGACAGCGGGAUCCAAGAGGGAUGCACAGAAGCCAGAGCAGCACAGCAUAAGAAAUACGAACCGGCACGUGCAGUCGCCCCCCAGGCAUGCUGAGGAAGAGAUGUGGGGCUCCAAAGCAGACAGAGGUGCCCAAAGGCAGCCUCACGGGAUCUGCUCCUGCUUGCUGCCACCAGCGCGUGGGACAACGGUGCGUAGCAUUGCCUAUGGCUCCAUUGAGUGGCUAUGUUGGCGGUAGGAGGUGGCCCCGCAGGUUCCCGCAUGGCUCUUGGCCACCCCGGCACGUCCCAAGUCCCAGCCUGAAUACAGGGCAGCAGCACAGGCAGCACAAACAGCUUCAGUGCUGCCCGUGGAGGACAACGGCUGCCACGCCAACGUCACCGCUGUGGGAAGUGCAGAGAGCCAACCCGGCCCGAUGCCACCUCCUUCCGCGAGCGCACCUCGAGGAAGCAGAGG